GAGUCAUGCCACAAAGACUGAGGUUGACAGGAGGGAAUCAAGUGCAGCAAUUGAGGCUCUCCCUAUUCUUUAUCCGGGAGGCAGUGUAUGAAGUUGGAGGGUUGACAGGCAGGAGGACAUCAUGGGUCACAGGUGAAGUGGACCAUGGGCUGUGGAAAAUCCAGAUCUGGAUAUUCAGGGAGUAAUUCACUCUAGGAGAGAGAACCACAACAACUCAGGGUUCCUGCUGCUUAAGAGCUCUUCUCUGAUUAAUCCAGAUGAGUCUCAGCUGUGUGGCUGCACCUGCCUGUAGCACCCUGCAGGAAGAGAUGAGAGAGAAAACUGCACAUAAAACACAAAUCUGUGUUCAACUC